UUUUUCAAAACAUGUUUUUUUGAAAAUAAUUAAAAAUUUACUCUGCCCAAUGAAUUAAAUUUAAAUGGCCGCAGUAUAUUGACUGUGCAAAGGUAGCAUAAUAAAUAGUUUUUUAAUUGAAGACUAGAAUGAAUGAGGGGAUGAAAUUUAAACUGUCUCAAGAUUAAUAAUAAAAAUUUAUUUUAAGUGAAAAUUCUUAAAUGAUUUUAAGGGACGAGAAGACCCUAUAGAAUUUUAAAAUUUAAAUAAAUUAGAUUUUUAACUAAUAAAUUAAAAAGUAAUUUAUAAAAAUUUUUUUAUUGGGAGGAUAUUAAAAUUUAAAUAACUUUUAAUUUAAAAAAACUAUUAAUUUAUGAAUUAAGGAGUAAUAAUAUAAGAAUAAGAAUAAAAUUACCUUAGGGAUAACAGCGUAAUAAAUUUUUAAAGUUCAAAUUAAAAGAUUUGAUUGCGACCUC
rnacentral:rRNA from 1 species